rnacentral:rRNA from 1 species
UUGACCUCGGAUCAGGUAGGAAUACCCGCUGAACUUAAGCAUAUCAAUAAGUCGCAAGGAA